GCGUACCUGAGCUGCUGGAACCAGGGGACUUGCUCCUUCUUGAGGGUCCACCACUGCGGGGAGAGCAGCGGCCCUGCAUGGAAGAAAUACGGCCAUAGGACUGCGAUUUCAUCACCCUGCACUCUGAGAAAGCUCUGCACUAUGUUCCUCCUGUCUCUGUAAUACACACCGAAGACAGUCUCAUCUGUGUGGAUGACCUGAUGUCACCGCCGAUCAAUCAACCGCAACCUCUGUCUGGCCCAAGCAUGUCGGCCUGACAUCCUGGAGGUCUGAUCGGAGGAGAUCUGACAGGCUGGUUUGCUCUCAGACCAGAUGCACAGAGAAGUCAUCCUGGUAGCGGAACUUCUCUGGGCCGCAGGCAAUAAAUAUAUCAUCCUCACCAAAGAAGUCCUGAAGACAUGUUAUCUGUGAACACAGCAGAGGUAGAAUUAUUAUUCACCUAAACAUUUACAUUCAAAAGUUU